GAGUUUGAUCCUGGCUCAGAACGAACGCUGGCGGCAGGCUUAACACAUGCAAGUCGAGCGCACUCUUCGGAGUGAGCGGCGGACGGAUUAGUAACGCGUGGGAACGUGCCCUUCUCUAAGGAAUAGCCACUGGAAACGGUGAGUAAUACCUUAUACGCCCUUCGGGGGAAAGAUUUAUCGGAGAAGGAUCGGCCCGCGUUAGAUUAGAUAGUUGGUGGGGUAAUGGCCUACCAAGUCUACGAUCUAUAGCUGGUUUUAGAGGAUGAUCAGCAACACUGGGACUGAGACACGGCCCAGACUCCUACGGGAGGCAGCAGUGGGGAAUCUUGGACAAUGGGCGCAAGCCUGGUCCAGCCAUGCCGCGUGAGUGAUGAAGGCCUUAGGGUCGUAAAGCUCUUUCGCCAGAGAUGAUAAUGACAGUAUCUGGUAAAGAAACCCCGGCUAACGCCGUGCCAGCAGCCGCGGUAAUACGGAGGGGGUUAGCGUUGUUCGGAAUUACUGGGCGUAAAGCGCACGUAGGCGGAUCAGAAAGUAUAGGGUGAAAUCCCAGGGCUCAACCCUGGAACUGCCUUGUAAACUCCUGGUCUUGAGUUCGAGAGAGGUGAGUGGAAUUCCGAGUGUAGAGGUGAAAUUCGUAGAUAUUCGGAGGAACACCAGUGGCGAAGGCGGCUCACUGGCUCGAUACUGACGCUGAGGUGCGAAAGUGUGGGGAGCAAACAGGAUUAGAUACCCUGGUAGUCCACACCGUAAACGAUGAAUGCCAGACGUCAGCAAGCAUGCUUGUUGGUGUCACACCUAACGGAUUAAGCAUUCCGCCUGGGGGGUACGGUCGCAAGAUUAAAACUCAAAGGAAUUGACG
rnacentral:rRNA from 1 species